UACGUAGGAGGCAAGCGUUGUCCGGAAUUACUGGGUGUAAAGCGCGUGCAGGUGGUGGGCCAAGUCUGUGGUGAAAUCGCCCGGCUCAACUGGGCGGGGUCCGUGGAAACUGGUCGACUGGAGGACGGUAGAGGCGAGUGGAAUUCCCGGUGUAGUGGUGAAAUGCGUAGAGAUGUGGAGGAACACCAGUGGCGAAGGCGACUCUUUGGUCUGUAACUGACGCUGAGGCGCGAAAGCGUGGGGAGCAAACAGG
rnacentral:rRNA from 1 species